UACGGGGGGGGCAAGCGUUGUUCGGAAUUACUGGGCGUAAAGGGCUCGUAGGUGGCCAACUAAGUCACACGUGAAAUCCCUCGGCUUAACCGGGGAACUGCGUGUGAUACUGGAUGGCUUGAGUUUGGGAGAGGGAUGCGGAAUUCCAGGUGUAGCGGUGAAAUGCGUAGAUAUCUGGAGGAACACCGGUGGCGAAGGCGGCAUCCUGGACCAAUACUGACGCUGAGGCGCGAAAGCGUGGGGAGCGAACAGG
rnacentral:rRNA from 1 species